rnacentral:rRNA from 1 species
UACGAAGGUGGCAAGCGUUGUUCGGAUUCACUGGGCGUACAGGGUGUGUAGGCGGUUUGGUAAGCCUUCUGUUAAAGCUUCGGGCCCAACCCGGAAAGCGCAGAGGGUACUGCCAGGCUAGAGGACGGGAGAGGAGCGCGGAAUUCCCGGUGUAGCGGUGAAAUGCGUAGAGAUCGGGAGGAAGGCCGGUGGCGAAGGCGGCGCUCUGGAACGUUACUGACGCUGAGACACGAAAGCGUGGGGGAGCAAACAGG